CCACUGAUAUAAUUAUUAAAUGGCUGCAGUAUUUUAACUGUACAAAGGUAGCAUAAUCAGUAGUYUUUUAAUUGAAGACUUGKAUGAAUGAUUGAACGAGAUAUAAACUGUCUUAAGAAAAAUAAUUUGAAUUUUAUUUUUUAGUUAAAAAGCUAAACUAAUUUUAAAAGACGAGAAGACCCUAUAGAUCUUUAUAAAAAUAUUAUUUAUUUUGUAAAGUUUAUAAUUUAAAUUUAUAUUUAUUUUUAUUUUAUUGGGGUGAUAUUGAAAUUUAAUUAACUUUCAUUAGUUAUUAAACAUUAAUUUAUGAUUAAUUGAUCCUUUAUUAUUGAUUAAAAAUUUAAGUUACCUUAGGGAUAACAGCGUAAUUAUUUUGGAGAGUUCUUAUUGAUAAAAUAGAUUGCGACCUCGAUGUUGGAUUAAGAUUAAUUCUGGGUGUAGCAGUUCAGAAUAUUAAGUCUGUUCGACUUUUAAUUUCU
rnacentral:rRNA from 1 species